rnacentral:rRNA from 1 species
GACGAACGCUGGCGGCGUGCUUAACACAUGCAAGUCGAACGGAAAGGCCCUGCUUUUGUGGGGUGCUCGAGUGGCGAACGGGUGAGUAACACGUGAGUAACCUGCCCUUGACUUUGGGAUAACUUCAGGAAACUGGGGCUAAUACCGGAUAGGAGCUCCUGCUGCAUGGUGGGGGUUGGAAAGUUUCGGCGGUUGGGGAUGGACUCGCGGCUUAUCAGCUUGUUGGUGGGGUAGUGGCUUACCAAGGCUUUGACGGGUAGCCGGCCUGAGAGGGUGACCGGCAACAUUGGGACUGAGAUACGGCCCAGACUCCUACGGGAGGCAGCAGUGGGGAAGAUUGCACAAUGGGCGGAAGCCUGAUGCAGCAACGCCGCGUGCGGGAUUACGGCCUUCGGGUUGUAAACCGCUUUCGCCUGUGACGAAGCGUGAGUGACGGUAAUGGGUAAAGAAGCACCGGCUAACUACGUG